UACGUAGGGCGCAAGCGUUAUCCGGAAUUAUUGGGCGUAAAGAGCUCGUAGGCGGUUUGUCGCGUCUGCCGUGAAAGUCCGGGGCUCAACUCCGGAUCUGCGGUGGGUACGGGCAGACUAGAGUGCAGUAGGGGAGACUGGAAUUCCUGGUGUAGCGGUGAAAUGCGCAGAUAUCAGGAGGAACACCGGUGGCGAAGGCGGUUAGCUGGGCAGUUGCUGACACUGAGGCGCGACAGCGUGGGGAGCAAACAGG
rnacentral:rRNA from 1 species